AGUCCGGGUGGUUUCUUCCGACCGACCGUCAGCACUCGACAAAUAACUGAGCAGCUGCUGGGGCCGGGAACACCGCGGGGACAGGUCAGAGCUGACCCUGAGCGACUCUACUGCCUCUCCCCGCCACGCCCACCUGCCCCCUGCGGGGUAGGACCCCGCAACCACCACUCCAGAGUCCUCUGCAGGGACUGCUGUUGCUACGGGAGAGGAAGCCAGAGGAAGGGGACGCCAUCUGGGGGAUGCUUGGGCCGUGGUGGCUGCAGAAGCAGCAGCAGCAGUGACGGCCACCGCCGCCAACCAGGGGCUUCUCCCUGGCCAGCGCAGCCACCUGGGCUCCGGGCAGCAGCAUUUUCCACGUGGCUCCUCCAAUCCUCACGAGACAGCAGCUCCCUGCAUUGCUAAUGCUCUCUGUAGGUCUGACGAUUUCCAAAAUAAGCUGGGGAAAAAGGUGUUAAGAAAAUGCAGGCGGCAUCCACUUCUAGUCAGAAGGUAGAAAAGUUACAAAAGACUGUCUCGCCCUAAAGAUGAAAACAAGCCAAACAAGCAACAAAAUCAAAGGUAAAGCCAUCUGAGAGCUGGCAAUGCAAAGGGACCUAAAUUAAUCAAAAUGCAGACAGGACGAGCCCUUCCUUGGGGAAGGAGCCCACAGCUUUCACCCUGGUGCGAGGCAGCAGGGCGGGAUGCCCUGCGUGAGGGGAAAUGAGUGGAAGUUCAU
rnacentral:lncRNA from 1 species